GGGUAAAACGUUUAAUUAUACAGUAAGCAUACUCACAUGCAGACACAGGCAAUUUCACUGACAUCUCAAUGACACACACAAGCUCAUUGAUACCCAGCCUCAUAGACAAACAAUCUUACUGAUAUACAUCAGCUCAUUGACAUAAAAACACAAGCUCACUCACUAGCAGGCACACGCAUGCAAGCAAGCUCACUCACUAGCAGACGCACACACACAGCUUAAUGUGGUGGUACUGGUGUCUAUAGCAUGUCCCUACAGGCUUUUCAACGUAAACACUGACUUUUCAGACAAAAGGCAGUGUUUACAUUGCUUCAAAGUGACACUGCUAGUGACAGUCACUCAGACGGUCACUAGAGGUGCUUCCUGUGUUAGUGCACCUACAUUCAGGGCCUCCACACUCUGUAGGUGCUGAACGUUCCCCAUAGAGAUACAUUGAUUCAAUGCAUCUCUAUGAGGAGAUGCUGAUUGGAGUGGUGUUUUGCAGCCAAUCCUAUGGCAAAGCAUUGAUGAUCUCAGCUAUAGAGGCAGGGCCAGUCGAGGGGAGACCAGCACGCUGCGUGGUGAAAAAAAAGGUGAGCAAAAACACUAUUUGUAAACACACAUAUACACCAUGACAGACACAGAAACACACAUAUACCAUGACAGAUACACACCCCAUGACAGACCCCCACACACACACACCAUGACACAGACAGACACACAUACCAUGACACAGACAGAUACACACACCAUGACGGACAGACAGACACGCACCCAAUGACUGACAGACACGCACCCCAUGACGGACAGACACACACCCCAUGACAGACAGACAAACACACACACCAUGACACAGACAGAUACACACACAUACCAUACAGACAGACACCAUGACACAGACAGACACACACCCCAUGACGGACAGACACACACACACACCCCAUGACGGACAGACACACACACACACCCCAUGACGGACAGACACGCACCCCAUGACGGACAGACACACACACACACACCAUGACACAGACAGACACACACACAUACCAUACAGACAGACACCAUGACACAGACAGACAGACACACCAUGAUGGACAGACACACACACACACACCCCAUGACGGACAGACACACACACACACACACGACACAGACACACACCAUACAGACAGACACCAUGACACACACACACACCCACCAUACAGACAGACACACACCAUACAGACACCAUGACACAGACAGACACACACACACACCAUAACAGACAGACAAACUCACACUGAAACAUUACUAAUACCUGCCAGGGGGAGGUCUUCUGGCGGCCGCUGGGGGACUUGUACUGGCGGCCGCUGGGGGAGCUGCGCUGGCUCUGCUCUCCCGCCCUCGCGCGCUGCUGAAUGAGACCGGCGCCGGAAUAUGACGUCAUAUUCCGGCGCCGGUCUCAUUCAGCUGCGUGCUGGGGAGCAGAGCCAUGUAAUCAUCAGCUAUAGAAGCGGUAGGCUACAGUUGACAAAGAAAACCCAGUAUUUGUCAAAUGUCUCCUAAAUAGGAUGACAAAAAAAGGGGGGUGGCCACCAUAGGUUUUUAACACCAUAACUACUACAAUGAGCUGCUGCUUUAUAGUGAACUGCAGUGCUUAUGGUGUUUAGGAUACCCAAGUGCCUAGCAAUCACUGAAAUCCCCACAAUUUAUUACAUGGACAGUUGUGAAACUUUUUCAGUUUUUUACAGCAUUGAAUAGAUAUUAAAGUCCAUGUUUACCAGAGAUUUGCAAUCACAACCUGUUCAGUGCCAUUAUUUUAAUUCCAUUAUUAUCAUUAACAUACAUUGAUAUAGAUAUUAAAUGCAUUAGUUGUUAAAGACCCUGUUGAGGGUCUACUACCAGAGACUGUUCCAGUUUUGGACCUCAAACACUUUUUUCGGGGUGGUUCCACGUUGUCCUAGGUUUCAAGUCCAUAAAUUAAAUGACUUUCAGUGAUACCCCUGCGCAUACAUGGCUACAUUAAGUAAUAUUGUGAAGUGUGCACACAUUGAGCUGGCUAGCAGGCUGUGCCAUCCCAUUGUGCUAUCUGCAGGUCAGCUUGCAGGCAGAAUAUUCUGAUCUGUCCAUUGUCAAUGACACACCCCUGCUGAAAUCAUGCCAGUGAUAAAACCCUGCCCCUGAGCAGCCAGGAUCCGAGCUUCCUAAAGAUCCGAGACAUCAUUAAGACAAAUGCAAAGAAUUCAGCUGUAAUUAAAGAAAUCCUCAGCAGAAACAACGUCGUUCCUUUGGAAACACCAUAAACCAGACAUACCUUUUCCCUCUGUAAUUAGGCUAGGUAGCCUUAGUUAUAGUAGUUGCACAGACUCCAUCCCAACCGCUGCAUGGCAGGAGAUUGUGCACUAAUUAAAUAUCCACAGACUGACGAGUUCUCAAAUAGGAUUGAUACCACACUGCUGUCUGAUAGAGUUGUGAACAAAUUGAUUGCUAUGACGAAUCAAAUGCCUUUUAAUCUGUGCCCCCACAAAUCAUUCUGUCUGUGAUUAACGUCUUAUUCAAUAAAUAAGGCUCAACUGGUAAAUCCCAGAUCGAUUAAAAGGCAUUUGAUUCGUUUGUAGCAGCUGAAACUGUUUUAUGCACAAGUUUACUAUCUAAUACAAUUUGCUUCUGGCAACACUUGUGCUUAUUUCAAUAUAAAAAGUUUAACUAUGGACAUUUCUUAUAUUAAUUAGAAUAAAAAUGGUUUUACCCUUUUAAUGGUACAGAAUGGGUAGGGGAAAUAAAAUGAUAUACCGCUUGCACAACCAACAGCGAUUGCACACUACAAAUCAUUUCACUUAGUACUAUAAAAAUAGAAUUUUAAAAACCGCUAAAAACAAAAUUGUUCGUUUGGUACAAUGCAAGAAAAUAAACUGAAAGUGACACAUCCAACCCAGUGACAUACUACAAUGUAUGGUCGAAAACAGUAGGAAGACGCUACUGGUUCUGACAUGGUAUAUUAUAACAAAGCACACACAGCGCACACAAACCAUGAGAAACAUCUAAUGUCUCAGGAAAUUAGCAGAAGUGGGGCACAACAAAUGGUUAUAUUGUAAACCGUCCUGGGCCAUCCUUCCUAUUUGGUUUUUAUGUAUAUAUUAAUGAUUGCUUUCCUUGGGUCAGGUAUUCCAUUCCUCUAUUCACUGAUGCCCCAUAGCAAGAGUUCCGGGACGUUUGUAAGUAUUUAAUAGUCUGGGCGGAGGCAUAGUGUAGACAGCGAAAAUAAUUGUAUUGUGCAAAUAGAUUCGGCCAGGAAAAAAACAAAAAACUUCAGGUUGUCCAAAACAUGUUCAUACGGCGUUUCGAAUCAGACCAAUUUCGCCCACGCGAACAAUUUAGGGAAAACAAUUAGGACAAAUCAAAAAUGGUGCAAAAUUGGCAAGCGUACUGCAAAAUAUAAUGUAUAUGUUCUAAUGUAUAUAUUUUACAGUGCACUGCUAGGCGCAUUCGUGCAUCAUUUAAUGCACAGAUUAACCGAGAUGCAGUAACCAGUACAGGGAAAAAGAGAAGGAGCAGUGAAAAAUCGAUAUUUAUUAAAUAUAUAAUAUAUAAAUAUAGGCAUUUUUACCUCCAUUGAAUCACUUCUCACUUGCUCUGUGAAUAAAAUCAACAUUUAGUGGCUGUCCACUGACCAUCUGUUUUUCCAUCAAACAUCUUUUUUGGCGCCAUGGAGAGAACUCAGAAUCAUGAAACAAACUAAACAGUUCGUCCAUUGUCCGUUUUGUUUCAUGAUUCAUUAACCUGCUGUUCCGGAUUUAUAGAAUUCAGUCAUCCGAUCAUAUCAAAUUUGGCCGAAUUGCAAUUUGUUUGGAAUCAAACGCAGAAAUCUAGUAUAGUGUGGAGGAAGCAGGAUAAUACAAACAUUGUGUUUUAAACCGUCUUAAAAAACUUAAAAUGUAUGUAUUUUGUCAGCUCACGAUUCCUUUAUAUCUUGGUAUAAAUCUGUGGUCCCUAUUAAAUCAUGCAUGUUCUGGGCCUGGCAAGUGUUGUCCUUUUCCAAUUGAUAAUAGCACCCAGCAGAGACUGGAUGAAGAUGUAGGAUUGAAAGUAAAAGCUGUAGGGAGAUUUUGAUAAUUAAAACUUUAUUUCCAAACCUUUCGUUUUUUACUUUAAACCUCAAACGAAAAGCACAAAAUAGGGCAGGGAAGGCCAGUGGUUUUUGCAUUUUAGAUAUGCUGGAUGGACUGCAACCCCAACGAUCCUCCUUCAUUUAGAAGUUAACUAGAUACUUUGGGCGUUGCAGAACAAGACAGGCUGGGAAGCUUAAAACAACUGGCUAAAAUUAAGAAAGAAGAUGUUUAAAUUCACUAUUUUUCUAAAUCUGUGUUUUGUAUUUAAAGCAUGAAUGUUUUCACCCAUUAACAAUGUAUUAAAAUAAAAAAAAUAAAAAACAUG